rnacentral:rRNA from 1 species
GAUGAACGCUGGCGGCGUGCCUAAUACAUGCAAGUCGAGCGAACAGACGAGGAGCUUGCUCCUCUGACGUUAGCGGCGGACGGGUGAGUAACACGUGGAUAACCUACCUAUAAGACUGGGAUAACUUCGGGAAACCGGAGCUAAUACCGGAUAAUAUAUUGAACCGCAUGGUUCAAUAGUGAAAGACGGUUUUGCUGUCACUUAUAGAUGGAUCCGCGCCGCAUUAGCUAGUUGGUAAGGUAACGGCUUACCAAGGCAACGAUGCGUAGCCGACCUGAGAGGGUGAUCGGCCACACUGGAACUGAGACACGGUCCAGACUCCUACGGGAGGCAGCAGUAGGGAAUCUUCCGCAAUGGGCGAAAGCCUGACGGAGCAACGCCGCGUGAGUGAUGAAGGUCUUCGGAGCGUAAAACUCUGUUAUUAGGGAAGAACAAAUGUGUAAGUAACUAUGCACGUCUUGACGGUACCUAAUCAGAAGGCCACGGCUAACUACGUG